CUCUAUCAAAUUAAAUGUACAACAGGCCCGCUAUUUCAGACCAUAGCAAAUUGCUGGGGAAAAGCAGAACUCCUGAAAGAUUACCCGCAAGGAUGAAAUGAAGUAACUCAAGAUGAGCAAGUUAAAAGUGGCAUCAGAGAAAAGCUUUAUCAAUAAUUCUCGGAUUGCGGGACUCCUGGCUCAGCUGGAGAAGAUAAACAGUGAAUCAGCAUAAUCAGAUACUGCCAGAUAUGUCACAUCAAAGAUUCCUCAUCUUGCUCAAAGUCAAGGUGGAGAGUUACAGAGAGGCAGAGGCAGAGAGAGAGAAGUCUUCACUCCCCAAAUGGCCACAGUGGCCAGGGCUGUGUCAAUCUGAAGCCAGGAACCAGGAGAUUCUUCCUGGUCUCCCACAUGCAUGCAGAGGCCCAAGGACUUCAAGGCUCAUUCUUGUGGUAGCAUUCAUCAAUGUUCCCUUUUUAUGGCUGAAUUAUGGGUCAUUGUAAGUAUGUGCCACACUUUCCUUAUCCAUUCAUCAGCGGAUGGACAUUGGUGUGGUUUCCACAUUUGGCUGCUGUGAAUGCUGUUGCUGUGAAUA